UACGUAGGCAGCGAGCGUUGUUCGGAGUUACUGGGCGUAAAGAGUGCGUAGGCGGUUUUCUAAGUUUGGUGUGAAAUCUCCCGGCUUAACUGGGAGGGUGCGCCGAAAACUGGAAGGCUUGAGUAUGGGAGAGGUAAGCGGAAUUCCUGGUGUAGCGGUGAAAUGCGUAGAUAUCAGGAGGAACACCUGCGGUGUAGACAGCUUACUGGACCAUAACUGACGCUGAGGCACGAAAGCGUGGGUAGCAAACAGG
rnacentral:rRNA from 1 species